AUGCUUAACACAUGCAAGUCGAACGGUAACAGAUAAGAUGAUCUCUUCGGAGUGAAUCUUUGCUGACGAGUGGCGGACGGGUGAGUAAUGCUUGGGAAUCUGCCCAAUAGUGGGGGAAAACUCGGGGAAACCCGGGCUAAUACCGCAUAAUCUCUACGGAGGAAAGAGGGCCUCUACAUGUAAGCUCUCGCUAAUGGAUGAGCCCAAGUCAGAUUAGCUAGUUGGUAAGGUAAUGGCUUACCAAGGCUACGAUCUGUAGCUGGUCUGAGAGGAUGAUCAGCCACACUGGGACUGAGACACGGCCCAGACUCCUACGGGAGGCAGCAGUGGGGAAUAUUGCACAAUGGGCGCAAGCCUGAUGCAGCAAUGCCGCGUGUGUGAAGAAGGCUCUAGGGUUGUAAAGCACUUUCAAUAGAGAAGAAAAGCUUGAAAUUAAUACUUUCAAGCCUUGACGUAAUCUAUACAAGAAGCACCGGCUAAUUCCGUGCCAGCAGCCGCGGUAAUACGGGAGGUGCGAGCGUUAAUCGGAAUUACUGGGCGUAAAGCGAGCGUAGGCUGUUAAUUAAGUCGAAUGUGAAAUCCCCGGGCUCAACCUGGGAACUGCAUUCGAAACUAUUUAACUAGAGUAUGGGAGAGGAAAGUAGAAUUUCCGGUGUAGCGGUGAAAUGCGUAGAUAUCGGAAGGAACACCAGUGG
rnacentral:rRNA from 1 species